ACAUGCGUUUUCUUAGUAGAGAGGACCUCCAAGAUGGUGGAACUGCAUUUGUGGAAUCAUCCUAAUGAUUAGUGCUAAUUAGACUUGUGAUUUCACCAUGAUAUCAGAGAUCUAAGUAAGCAAAAUUUCUUUGUAAAAAUAAUCAUUUGUUUGUCUAUAGUCAAUAUGUUUCUAAUAGAAGCUGUCAGGAUUGUUCAGGUCUGUUCUGAAUGCAGGCUGUUUCCUUCCACAUAUGAUAAUAAUCUCAGAUGCCCCCACGGAGUAAAGAAAAUUCUCUUCCACCACUGCACAUUCAUGAAAAUCAUGUCCUAUGAGAGUCGACUAAAGAAGUUAGAAAGAAAAUGUCCAGAGCAAAAGAUAAACAUGAUGGACAUAGUAGAGACAUAAAAGCCUGGAUCCACGUGCAGAUCUUCCUUCUCAGAGCUGGGCAAUGUGUGCUCUGGACUUACUCUGUUACCGUUAAGAACCCCGAGCAACGGUGAGAAUACAGAGGAUUCUUCAAACAAGCCAGGAAUUUUUGACCUUGCAGUGAGAAUACAGAGGAUUCUUCAAACAAGGCAGGAAUGCCCAUUCAACUUUCCCCAGUGGCUCUGCAUAAGAGGAACCAACAGAGAUCAUUUCCUGAGACCUAAGGAGGCAAAAGCUAGGUGGCAACCAAAGAUUUCAGAGGAGGAAGCAGGUAAGGUGCAGAGCUGCCAGGUGAUUUCUCCCAUUGACUAUUUGUCUUUUUCCUUUCUUACUAUCUUCUUUGUUUGCUUAUUUUAGUAGUUGCUUCAGGAUAUAUAGUAGUAUAUAUCACAGGCACCCUUCAAGUGAUAUAUUGCCCCUUCAUAUAGUACAAAAUCCUCACAACAAUAUACUUCCAUUUCUUUUCUCCUGGCCUUUAGUCCUCACUGUCUUCUGUUUUCAUCCACAUCUUCUUCCUGACUGUUGACUCUAUUGAACACAGUGGCCCCAAGUCUGUCACCACAUGCUGGGCUGUGAGAUGUUGGUGCCCUCCAGCCAAAGGCCUCCAAGAGCUCACCUGCACUUAAGUAAGUUGGGUUUCUCGUUUGUCACCGUGAGGGAGUAUACACACGCCAUGGAGAAUUGCCAGGUGUCCCAGUAAAGGGUGUCAGAAAGAACCUAUUAUAGGAUGUGGGCUUUGCUUGGUGGUUUUGAAAGGAUUUAGUGAAAUAGGGAAUUGGUCUCUGUUGGCUACAGUCAAGAAGGGAAGGUCAUUCUAUGAUUGGUACCUCAAUAAAUCUUACCUAUGGGAGGGCAUUCUAGAUGCUAAAGCAGUAAUUAAUAAUAAUAAAAAAAGCAGCCACUCAUAUUACCUGAGGAAGAGAGAUUUUUGUAUUUUGCAGCUCAGAUGAUAUGCAUGUUUUGUCUCUAUUUAGGCAUGAUUCUGGAAUGGUCUGUUUGCUAUCUUUGUUGUCGUUGUGUCUUGAUCUAUCAUAGUCACAGAGUGAUCUUGUCUCAUAUUAAUGUUCUGUGAAAUCAUUUAUGUUCAACAGGAAAGCACCGAGGCACAGCCGUGAGUGCCACACCAGCUCAUAAAAACACCAAGAUCUGCCUGAUAAUGCCAGGGCAUGCCUGGGUGUCAGGCGCUGCUCUGCUUUUCUGGGGAAUCGCAGAGUUCUGGUAUGAACUUCUCCACCAGCCCCCGAGCAGCCUAGCCUCAGCAGCAGAUGUGCUUGGCUGCUCAGGUUGACUGAUGGGAAUCUCCUCCUAUGUUCUUGUUUCCCUUUAGACCUUCAUUUCUCCAGCUUCUCCCCUAAUUGUGCCAAUCUGAUUUCUAUAAUGAAUCCCUCAUCCCAUUACUCAUAGUGGUACUGCUCCCCUAGUUAAACACUAACUGAUACCAGGACUCAAAUAAGAGACACAAAUUAAGUUAUAUUUAAAAAGCAAAUAGAUCCCUGGGUCCCCUUCUUCACAUCUGCACAUUGAGAAGCUGUCCUUCUCAAUCACAGCAGAAUGAUGGAGGUUCAUGCUCUUGAAAAGGCAAAACAGAGGGUCUUUGGAAUCUCAGAGAUAUUUGAGGGAAGAACAACUUUCUAGAAACAGGGGAAUUAUUUUAAAAUAUGUUAAUUGAAUGCUGAGGUCACUAGUCCCCUUUCUCUACUUUCCAAAUUUUACACCCACACAAGUGCACCUGCUGGGUGGCAGGUGGGGGUGGCGACUCUAAACUCUGACCAAAGGUUGACAACAGGGGAUCAACGUUUGAGGCUUAAAAUGACCACAAAUGAUGAAAAUCAUUAUGUCCAUGUGAUGAAUUGAUUCCACAAUCACUAAGAAUUUGUCUUCUUUAUUCCUGGAUAGAAUUGUAUUACCUUUAUUCAGAGAAUAGAAGUACUAUUAUUGUCUCUGAAAUUACUUUGGCUGAAAUAAAUACAGCCACUCCAGCUAUAUUUUCAUUUGCAUUAUCAUGGUAUACUUUUCCCUGUGGAUUUUCAUGGAAAAUUUGAUUUAAUUUUUUUGCAAGUAGCAUAUCAUUGAGUCUUACUUUUUAAUUCGACUAUUUUUUCCUUUAAUUUCAGUGUUUCGACUGCUUACAUUUAAUAUAAUUAUUGAUAUAGUUAUCUUUGUCUGUCAUAUUUAUUUUCCAUUUUUCCCAUCUACUGUUUGUCUUUUUCCUCCUUUACUACCUUCUGUGUUUGCUUAUUUUAGUAUCUGCUUUAGGAUAUAUAGUAGUAUACAUCACAGACACACUUCAAGUUAUAUAUUGCCCCUUCAUAUAGUACAAAAACCUCCCAACAGUGUUAUUUAUUUUCUCCUGGCCUUUAUUCCAUUGUUGUUAUACACUUUAACUUUACCUACCUUAUAAACUCUGUGCUAUAAUUUAUUGCUUUAUUUCUAAACAAUCCAUUAUUCGAAGGAGAGAUAUAAAUAACAUUUUAAAAUAAUUUUACAUAUUUGUACAUGUGGUUACCAUUUCUAGUGCUUUCAAUUGAUUUGGUUGAUACAUCCACCUGAUAUCAUUUUAUUUUUGCCAGAAGAAGUUUUAUUAACAUUUCUUGAACCCAACUGAGUCGGAGACCAGAGUGGCUCUGUCUGUCACACUUGGAGAAACUAUUAAGGGCUAUUCAUACCUGCUCACUUCCUCAACUGCUCUGUAAAUUGAAUAACCAAGCCAGAGAGUCAGAGACCAGUUGUCAUGUCAGGAUUACUUGUAUCUCUCUUCUUUAUAAUGAGUGGGAAUUUGGGACUAAUUCGCUUUAACACUUGGUGUGUUUUACACAUUGAAAAAUCACAGGAAAAUGCUUUUCUAAAAUAUUUAAACUUUAUGAACACUGAUUUCUAAAUAAAAAAUACCUGGAACUUUUUCUUUAAAUUAUUUCUUAUAUUUUAUGUAGUGGCUUGAAAUAGAUCAAAGGAAGGAUGCUAGAUGUAGAUAUUUUAUAAAUUUUAACAGUACAGGAAAUUGGACUCUUUAUUUCCAUUUGAAUCCAUAUUUUGUGAAAACCCUCCACCUAGAAAGACCUCCCCAGUUUCAUCUGUCCCUCUGUCUUGGCCAACUUGUUCCUUCUCUGUCCCUUCCCCUGCCUUGAGCUCCGAGGUGCUUCCUGGACUGGCUGGGCCCCUUGCUCCUCACUGCACAUCUUAAUAUUUCUCUUCCUCCUUGUGCUCUCUCCAACCACUGCAGCAAAUAGUGUCUAUGCUGCCUCUAUUUUGCAUUCUAUUCAGCUUAGCUUCUAUUUAUUUGCUACUUGAACUACUCACUAAUUGUGCAUAAAGUGUACACUUUGCAACUCAAUAGGCUAUCAAUGGCUGUGUUCCCCCGCCGUGCCCCAGCACCCACCUGGUGAGGAGGAGGAAGGGAAGAUAAGGAGCUAACCCAGUGGGAGUUUCUGCAAGGAGCAGGCAUCUGGCAAAGGUGUAUCUUUCACCUGAAGUUCCCGGGGAAAGUUCAAAGCAGGAGUAAACAGAGAAUGGAGCACCAGGUGGGAAGCCGAGCUCAGUAAGGUACAGAAAGAAGCCUGAUUGCCAACGGAAGGGUCAAGGGCAGGGAUGGACGCUUAUGUGCAGAACCAGCACCUGGAGGUCAUGAGAUCAAGACCUGGGUGACGAAAUGUGAUGCAGGUUGAGCCCUCAGGCUGUCACACCUGAUAUUUGGCUUUAAAAAGUCUAUGUGGGUGUGGGUGUUAAUUACCUCAUUAGUGUCCUGUGACUGCUAUAUUAAUCACCACAAAUGUGGUUACUGAAUUCAACGUAAAUAUAUAUACUCUCACAGGUAUGGAGACCAGAAGUCUGCAGUUAAGGUAUGGGCAGGUCUGUUUCUUCUAGGGACUCUGAAGGAGAAUCUACUCCAUGCCUCCUUGCAACCCGUGGCACUCUUUGGCUUACAGAAGCAUCACUCCAAAUUCUGCCUCCAUCUUCCCAUGGCCUUCUUCUCCAGAUUUAGGCCUGUCCUAAUCCUGGACAAUCAUAUCUUGAGAUCCUUAAAAGUGCAUCUGCAAAGAACCUUUUUUCCAAAGUCGUCUUCUCAGGGUUAGAACUUGGACAUAUCUUUUUUGGGGGUACCAUCAUUCAACUCAAAACCAUUAUACAAUUUGAGACAGUGUUCUAAACAUGUAUGAAUGCACUUAAUUCCUAUACCAAUUCCACAUUAAAGUAUGUGUCAGUAUUAUGACCACUUUACAAACCAGGAAUCUGAGGUGAGGAAGGAAUAAGUAAUCUUUCCAAACCCCCAUAGCUGUCAGUGUCAGGGCUGCACCUGAACCCAGGUAGGCAAAUCCCACAGUUCACAUGCUUUAUCACUGUGCUUUAGAAAUGGCUGAGCCUCUGUUUCUUCACCUGUGAAAUGGAGACAGUGACAGUACACAUUUAAUAGGGUUUCUGUGAGAUUACGUGUGCCCCAGCAUGGACAGCCACUACAGAUUUAACUACUGAUACUAACACGAGAGUGAAGCAGCUGGGGCAGGUCCUGCAAAAUUCCAGCAACAUUUGACUUUGACGGGCUCACAGGUAUGGUGCAGAGGAGAGCUGGCUGUGCUGAAGGGGCCAGACACAGGGGCCACUGGAAUAGAAGCUUCUCAAAGGUGGCGAAGAUGCUUUUUAUGCUUGUUGCCACCACCCAGAAUGAUGUUAACCAUGAGGUAUGUGCUCAGUGAAAGGGUGUGGAGUGAAUGAAUGAGUGACAGUACAUUUUUUGGAAGCAGGCACUAUAAUAAUCAUUUCUUCUGUACCUCCUUUUCCUAACUGAUCUCUGCCUCUCCAAGGCUAAGAAUAGUGCUAGUCAUAGAUAGUAAUUUAUUUAUGCGGUCCUUGACCUCUCCAUCAUCUCUUAGCCUUAGAUGGAAAAUCUUACAAGAGAAUGAAGCUCCUGGAGAAGAAAUGGUGAGAGAAGACCUCCAGGAUCUUCAGAAAUGUUGAGACACAGGGAUGUGGUGAAAAGAACAUGGGGGAAGAGCAUGGGCAUGGUGGUGGGGGUCAGAGCAGGACUUGGUGAACACAACUCAUGGAGUGCUUGAUCUGUUGAUCUGUGCCAGGCAGUGGGCUAGAUUGUAAAAAUAAGACCAAUGAUAAAAAUUGAUAUAUAUAUAGAGAGAGAGAGAGACAAUGACUGAUAUAUAAUCAAUACAUGAUGGAUAGAUAAAUAGACAUAAGUAGAUAGAUAGCUUUAAUUCUUACUGUGCCACUUAAUAUCUAUAGAAACUUGCAUGAGUUAUAAUAACAAUUUAAGCCUCCAUUUCUAGAUAAAAUUAAGUUACUUAAAUGCUUAACUCGUAGGGUUUCUGUGAUAACUAAAUAAUAAAUCUUGCAUAUAUAUGCAUGUGUAUGUCGGUGUGAGUACGAAUAUAUAUACAGAGAGAGAAACAGACAGAGACAAGGACAAAGAGACAGAGAAGAGAGAGCCAGAGAGAUUGGAGGGCACACAGGUGAGCUUGGUACCAAAUAGAUCAUUUUGCCUUCCUUUUCUUCUCAGCUCCUGAAAUACUCUGUUUCUGAAAUACAAUGCAGUGAUAACUACUGUUUAUCCUUUUUUAUUUUUUUUGUCAUGUAAGUCCAAGAUUCCUUUAUAGAAAACUCUCAACCUAUGGCAUCAAUUUUGGACCAAGACGUGGCCAUCUGCCUUCCUAAAUGCCCCUAAAUGACAGCUGAGCUCUUCAAUAGCCUUCAUUGCUCCUGAUCUUUCACCCCUGCAGGGAAGCGUCUGGCAGCACACUCAAUGUCCAAUGCCCACUGGGCUGACCCAGAAGCAAAUUUUGUGUCAGCUCCUCCAGCCCACCAUGGAUCAUCCUGGGAGCUGUCUUCAGAUGGUAAUUAUUCUCAGCUGAAGCCAUGGCCCCAUUAAAGACAGAACACUGGAGAUGAAAAGUCCCAGAUUCCAUUAGCAGUCUCUACUUCAGACAUGAACUCUGGGACUUGAUGCCUCUGAUGUGUCUCUUCAUGUUGCUUCCACAGGCUUAAUGAUGCCUUUAGCAUCUCUCACCUGAAGGUCAACAUUGAAAUGAGAACUAUUUUGACUGAUCUGCUCGGAAUAAAAUGAGAAAAACAGUUCAUGCUGAACUACACAUAUGUGGAGGCGAUGAACAUAUGUUUCUAAUUUUGAGCUGAGAGAAAAGCAAAAAUAAACAAAUUUAACAAAUCUUAGUUCUUGACAACCACUCACAGAAUAGUUCAGCUAAGAAAUAAACAUUUGGUUCAGGGAAUAAAGAAACUGCCUGGCUCGGUGUGGAAAUGACACUUCUAGACUCAGAGUUUCAUGACUACAGUGAGCUCAUUUCUUCUGUAAUUAGGGUCAAGACUUGAACUUUUCCUGUGGAUUUUCCCAUCAGAAGACUGGUGCCAUUUAUCCAUGUAGGUGAGCACUAUAAGGACAUUGCUUCAUAUCACGCUUCAAGAGUGAUGAGUUUCACAAGGAGAUUGCAUGUCUCCUCAGAGCCGGCCCGUCUGUAUGUGAUCAGGUGGGAGAAUUUGCUUCAGUAAGUGGAGUGUGAUGGGACAGGGGUGUUAAGUGCCCCCUGAGGAAGUGUUGGCUCUAAGAAGAGAAGAAGUUUGGCCACGAUGAUGCUUGGCCUCUUUUCCAGCCAUGUCUCAGUCAACCCUAGCUGCUGGGAAAAGUACCACCGACUGGUAAACAGCAAACAUUUAUUUCUCGCAGUUCCGGAGACUGGAAGUCUGAGAUCAGAGUGCCAGCGUGGUCAGCUUCUGGUGAAGACCCUCUUGUGCCCCACAUGGCAGAGAGAAAGUGAGCUGACUCCAUGUCCUCUUUUCGUAAGGGCACUCAUCCACUCAUGAGGCUCCACUCUCAUGACCUAAUUACCUCCCAAAGGCCCCACCUCCAAGUAUUAUCACAUGGGGGAUUCGAUUUCAACAUAUGAGUUUUGGGGGACACAAACUUUCAGUCUGCAACGAGACAGGAUUGUCUUACUAUGAUCAGACUGUGGGUGAUUUACUUCGUUUCUUGACACAUCUGUUUUUAUUCUUAAGCCUGUAUACAUAGAUAGUACUUACUGUUUUACAAGAAUCCAGUUUUUCCUUGCAUGGUAAUUUAUUUUAAAAAACACUGUUUUAAGGUUUCUGUGAUGAGCUAAAGGCAUCUAACUGAAUCCAGAAUAUACUGUCAACUUUAGUGUCUCAGGUCGUGUGUUGUGAAGGAAAAGGUGCCACAUGCUUGACACCUUGACGUUUGAGGUCUUGGUGCAACCUCAAACUCAACAUGUGAAUCCCAAGGGAGUAUCUUCCUCUCCAAAGGCCUCUGCUUCCCCAUCUUUUUUUUUUUUUUUUCUGAGACAGAGUCUCGCUGUGUCACCCAGGCUGGAGUGCAGUGGCGCAAUCUCAUCCUGCUGCAACCUCCAUCUCCCAGGUUCAAGUGAUUCUCCUGCCUCAGCCUCCUGAGUAGAUGGGGUUACAGGUGCGUGCCACUAUGCCCAGCUAAUUUUUGUAUUUUUAGUAGACACGGGGUUUCACCAUGUUAGUCAGGCUGGUCUCGAACUCCUGACCUUGUGAUCCACCUGCCUUGGCCUCCCAAAGUGCUGGGAUUACAGGCGUGAACCACUGUGCCCAGACUUCCCUAUCUUUAAAUGAGCCGAUUGAGGAUGAUCCCUGGGAUUUAUCCAAACCUACACGUUUUGGGGGUUGAUGAGAGUGAGGGUGGAAUGUCUGUCCCUCCUGGACAGAAUCCUAACAACUCUUCAGCAAAUCAGUGAACUUGAAUCCAUGCAGAGGCCUGUUUCUAGGGAGAAUGCCUCGGCCAGCUGACCACAGGGAUCACAGCCCUUAGACUUCCUCAGAUGUGAGGGAGGGGUUCAGUGAUCCUGCCUGUCAGCUCCCAGGUUCACAAGUACAGCCACAAUAUAGAUAAUCAACUGCUUGUCUUCUCAGCCCUGGGAAAAGUGUGCGUGUCUCUUUACAGCAAGUUGUAUCAGCAAGACUGCCGUAUCAGGGGUUGCGCAAUCCUCAAUUUAACAUGAGGAAGAAUUUACUCUCUGUCAGAGUUGCACAUUCUGCUCCAAGAAGCCGCUCACCGUGGGUUCCAGCACAGGCCAGAUGAGGAAGAGAAGCUUCCCACUCUGAGGGGUGAAGUCCCGAGUCCUGUGGUGCCCACAGAGAGGUACUUAGGCCAGCAGCAUGGGCAUCAUGAGGGUGCUUGGUGGAAAUCCCCACACUUAGGCCAACACAGUCAGCCUCUGUGUUGUAUGAGGUCCCCUGUGCACAGUGGAGCGUGAUAAUUGCUGGGGAAUGAGGAGGAGCCUCAUGGUCACUGCCACCAAUGUCAUCUGUUGCCCAGGAGCUGAGGCAGGAGGGAAGACCUGGAGCUGAGACCUCCAGAGGCUGCUCCACAGAGGGGACGGGGAUGAUAGCUUUCUUUCAUGCUCCAUUUUCACCCCAACUGGGCUCUUGCUCAGUGUCCCACCCUGUGGUGCUGCCUCAACCUGACCAAACUGCCUCAGGUGCUGCCUCAGCACCUGACGGGCUCCCCAGAGUCACAGUUCACCCAGAUGCAGCCACUUUCCUCCUGUACCACCUUCCCUCUGAGGCCAUCUCCAUGGUUCCCAUCACAAGGGCCUGGCACACUCUCUCUGCCUCUCUAUUCUAGUGCCCCACUCCUCUGAGACCCAGGACAUUUCAUGAAUCCCCCUCGUCCUGUCUGCAGCUGCACGGGGACCCCUGCCUGAGGUUUGCCAUUGUCCUGGGCCACUCAUGGGCUGUGGAUGUGGAUUCUCCACUUCUAGGUCCUAGAUCAUAAAGGGGCCUCCAGUGCAUCCUCCCAGGGGGCUAAGACAUAGCAGACAGGGUCCCCCAAGUUCACUUUGUGGUCCUAGAUACAGGAUGUGUAGCAGGUGGGAGGAACAACUGAGACAAGGCCAGAGGGCAGUGACUUCUGCCAGGGACUGGGUCUGGCUCUUCCCCAGGUGCAUCACACAUGGACUGCCUUCCUUGAAGACACUGAUAUCAUAACAAGAGCAUGGAUGAGGCCAACCUCAUUCACAUAUCCACUGUGUCAUAUCUUCGUGAAUAACUGUCUAAGCAGGGUAAGUGAAGGAGUUACUUUACAGAGAGAUUGCUGCCUAAAAGGUCUUUGAUUCUCCAUUAAGUUUUCAGUCCUUCAAGUGAAUAGUGGCCUAUUAGGAGACUUUGCUGAUGGGGUUCAUUUCCGACACUGCAGUGGGCACCUGUUUUCUCAGAGUCCAGGUUUGAGUGUGCAGGUGUGUGUGUGCCUGUGGCCCUGGGGGAGGCUGGGGGUACACUGACGCAGAUGCUGGACACAGGGGAUCCCCCUCAUGGUUUGGACAAGCCUGGAGACUCAUUAUAAAGCAGUACAAGUGAUCUACUUUCCCAGAGUGGGGAUCUUUCUCUUUCUUCCUGUACCCCCACAAGGUAGUUAGGAAGGACCCACCUCCCACCAUGCCCUCAGAUUGAAAAAGUCUCAGUUCUCUGUGGCUGAGUCACAUUCUGACUUGCACAGCAGUUUUAAAGUCAUCACAAUGACCCUACUGGCUGAAAGUUAUUAUCAAAAUUCCAAGUCAUACUUAGUUAACAACUAAGUAAUUUUCAGUAUGCAAUCUACAGGCUUGUCAUUAUUCCUGUAGGUGCUGUCUCCUGAGGCUGUUUAAAUUUCUGGUAGUUUCUGGUAAUUUCAAAAUCUCAGGAGCCAUUUGUUUUCACAGAGAUUCAGUUGACUUUUUAAUUAUAGUUUAAAGCAAAGCUGUGGUUAAAAAGUAAGUUAUACGUAAUAGAAACAUGAGAACUAAUACAGAGAAUUAUCUACUAAUGCAUCGGUAAUAUUGAUCCAGUUUGAUAUCUGACAGCUGAGGGGUCUUGUUUAUCUGGCUCGGAAAAACUAAUUCCACUGUAAAUACACAGUGGGAUAUGUGAGACAUUGUUGUAACUCCCACUUCCUUUUCAAAUUGAGAAAAAAAAAUAAGUGUGAACUUUGGCCUAUGUGGCAUUCUAUAAGCACAUUUUCUGACAUAAAACAUAGCACAAAGUUUGGCUUUUUGGCUUUUAGCAAUGUGGAGUUUUUAUUGUCUUAAAUCCCACUCACUAGCGAACUUGGCAAUAAUUUCAGUCUUGCCAUGGGCCAUCAACUGAGUACCUGAGGAGGCUCUUUCUCAAGAAAUCCCACGUGAGCUUUGUGAGUCUCAUGUCUACUCCAACUCCUUUUUCCCCUUUGCCUUAAGUUUUCCUGAGUGCUCCCACUUAGUUCAGCUGAAUUACUGUUCACAAUUCACUUGCACAAAGUCACCAUAGCUCAUAUUAGUGAGAGCGACCUUCCAACCCAUCAUUCCAGCCCUGCAGUGCAGCUCCUACUCAAAGGGCUGGGACAAGCUUCCUUGGAGAAAUUCUAACGCAACCCUGGAGACGAACGUCAUGGGAAUCUCAGUAGGAAGGAACACUUGUACAGAACUGUCAUUUAAAAGGAAUGAGUUUCACCAUUGUGUUUUUCAUGCAAUCCCACCACUGAAACUACUGACAUGAUGGGUCACAGUUGGCUCACGUUGCUUUCACGGAAGUGAGGGUGGAACCUGCAACAGUUCAGUAAACUGUGUUUGUUAGCACUGGUGAAUCUACACGCGUCUACAGCAACCUCAAUUCUCGCCUCCUCAGAAGAAAGAAUUUGACCAAGGAACGUAAGGUAGAGGGAGAGACUGAAGCAAGUUUUAAAGCAGGAGUGAAAGUUUAUUAAAAGGUUUUAGAGCAGGAACAAAAGGAAGUAAGGUACACUUGGAAGAGGGCCAAGUGGGCAACUUGAGAGAUCCAAGUACAUAGGUUGCUUUGACUUGGGGUUUUAUACAUUGGCAUCCUUCCGGGGUCUUGUGUCCAUUCUCCCCUGAUUCUUUCAUCGCAGUGGGCUGUCGGUAUGUGCAGUGACCUGCCAGCACUUGGGAGGGGCCGCAUGCGCAGUGUGAUUACUGGAGUUGUGAACAUACUCACUUGAGGCAUUUUCCCUUGCCAGCUGAAUGUUCCUAGAGGAAGAUCAUAUAGCAGUCAGAUGCCACCAUUUUUGCCUCUCAGUGUGUAUACUUGAGCCCACUCGUCCAACUCCUGAGAUAUUAUUAGGAAGCUGCUGAUCACCAGUUUCAGGCUUUUCUAUCUGUUAGGAAACUGCCUCUCCCUGGUGCCAACUACAACCAAUUAUUAUUUUAAAGAGACAGUUUAACAACCACCUGACCAUCACUGGAUGGUCUCCUGACAAUACUGUUGUGGGGCCCUCUUCUGCCCUGCUCAUGUUUGCCUAAUUACCUACUGUAACACAUUCUGAAGCUUCCUAGGUGGGAGGACAUUUCCUACCUGCUUCCCCUAAAUAAGCUACUGCUGGAAAGAUGCAAGAUACUCCGAAAAUAACAAGGCUUGGUAGUUAACUAGUAGCCCGUUGAGAUUUUCUCAUUACAUGGUGGAACCAAUCAUUGUGUAAUUGAGGCACAAGAUCACCUUUCAGCCAUCACAGGAGCAUACACGCCCCACCAUGUGGCAAUGGCACAGAUCUCUGAGCCCUCCUGUACUGUAAAAUUAAGCUUAUGUUUGUAAGAACUACUGGAGGUUCUAAAUGUAGACACUAACUUGCGCCCCUUCCACAUCUUGUGUUCAACGUUCAUUCUUAUUUUGUCUGUACAUGAUCUAAAGUGUAAACUGGACCACUAACAUCUACUUUGAAUGACGUUGUUUCAAAAGUAGGCAAGGUUCUGAAAAAUCUUUUCUGAUUAAAAUAAAAAUGAAUAAGAGGACUUGAUGUGCAAUGUCCAAGACAAAUAAAACUAUGUGAUAAAAUUUGUAUGAAAAUA